AUCGCUUCUCGGCCUUUUGGCUAAGAUCAAAGUGUAGUAGCGUACUUUCCUUUCUUUUUAGGUUUACUGGUGGAUAUCGUGAUGGAGUAGACUCCUCGUUCCGAGGGCGGAGCCAAAGUGGACUUUGGGAAGUUUUUGCUUUUACUUUUC
rnacentral:snRNA from 1 species